UGCCCAUUUUUCAGAUGUGGAAACUGAGGCAAUAGAGAAGCAAGGGCACUGGCCCCAGAUUCCUCAGCUAGGAAGGGACAGAAGCGGGAUUUGAAUC
rnacentral:miRNA from 1 species